rnacentral:misc_RNA from 1 species
GAUGAAGAACGCAGUGAAAUGCGAUAAGUAAUGUGAAUUGCAGAAUUCAGUGAAUCAUCGAAUCUUUGAACGCACAUUGCGCCCAUUAGUAUUCUAGUGGGCAUGCCUGUUCGAGCGUCAUUAAGUCCACUUAAGCCCUGCUUAGUGUUGGGAGACUGCUCCAGCGGUGCUACCCUGUAGCUACCCUGCAGCUCCUCAAAGACAGCGGCGGAGUUGUGGUAUCCUCUGAGCUUAGUAACUUGUUCUAGCUUUCGAGUACACCACUUCCCCUGCCGUAAAACCCUUAAUUUUUAAUGGUUGACCUCGGAUCAGGUAGGAAUACCCGCUGAACUUAAGCAUAUCAUAAGCGGAGGA